CCGACGCAUCCGGGGUCGGUGAAAGUCCGAACCGGCGGUGACAGUCCGCGACCCUCGCGGCCCAGUUUGAACGGGCCAACAGGUUGAUCCGGUGAAACUCCGGGACCGACAGUGAAAGUCUGGAUGGGAGGAGCGCGUC
rnacentral:ncRNA from 2 species